rnacentral:misc_RNA from 1 species
UUGAUUCGUGUUUCGAGUUCAGACACGGGACGGGAUCAGGCAUGGGUGCGGCGCCGAAGCGCCGAAGCACGUUUCGCUUCCACAGGUUUGAAGGGUUGAAGGCCAAAAGGCCAUUCAGUAAUGAUCCCUCCGCAGGUUCACCUACGGAGA